ACGUGAUGAAAGACCCGUAUGUUGUAGACGCUGACAUGAAAUAAAAGAACGCAUUACCUUGACCUAUGACAUCAUAACCGAUAAAGGAGUAUUAUGUGUUAUUUCAUUACUCAGACCUCUUUGAACACACUAAAAAUUCGUUUCGAUUGAUGUUACAUAUAGCAUGUGCAUUAGAGUGUCGUCUCGUGGAGAAACGUGAUGCUAAAGAUAGCCAUCAGGGGUAUUGCACAGCAGUUACGUGGUGCGUGAAUGCCGUAACAUACACUGGCGUCGACUGGUACGGUCAGUCAAACCAAUAUUAAUCUCCGAUAUUUUAGUGCAAAUCUUCUGUGUGUUGCAGGAAUAUGAUGCGGUCGGGUAUAACGCCAACAUUGAUAGGAAGUUUAGGGAAUCCCGUACUUCCCGGAUCUGGCGACGUGAUCACGAUAGGUCCAGAGUGACAAGGCGUGCAAUGUUGAGAUGUCUUACAUCAAACCGGGCCUAUAGAGUGGUUGUGUCCCUCUUCUCUCUCAUAUACGCUCUUCAUCUGUUCUGGCUGACACACGUGUUCCUUCCCGAGGAAUUACACGGAUUUGAUUUAAUCAGUGAUGACGUCAUUGAUGAAGACGAUAUAGAAGAUAUGAUGUCGUUUGAAGACAUCAUGAAGGAACAUACUGGUGAAAUGUAUAUUAUUUGAGAGGAAGUUAAAGGCCCAGUAGUGAAGUGGAAGUCAAACACCCGUUGAUCCGUGAUCUCAAAAGUAUUACGUAGAAUCAGGGGGCCAGAUUGAAUUAUUUUCUUGCAGUGAUCGACACUUGGAACAUUUCAUGUAAACAAAAUUUGGAUGAAAAGCAAAUAUAAUGCCAUGUCGUCCAACGAGCAUAUGCCGUCUGCAAAAUCCAUUUUGGAAGGGAAUUCUCAAAAGUGUAAUGGCGUCAACGGUCAAUCCUGCCCCGGACUGUUGUUGCCAUAAACUGUACGUCAAAUUUCAUUCUGUCUCAUUUAAAAUGCUACUGACAUUACUAAACAAAGGCAGAGACAUCCAGAUUUGUAAAAUAAGACUUAAAUACUGUAUUACUACAUUGUAAGUACAUUAUGUUAUGAUAAUUUUUCAUCUGUUCAUUGUGAAACCAUGACCUCGCCGUAUUAUACAGUAACAAAGUGAUCCCUAAAUGUGUUAACUUGUGUCGUUAGAUAGCAGCUGACGGGACAUCGUCGUAUUCCUAGGAACUGGACGCCAUCCGUGUCUUAAAAAACGUCAUGUCAAAUUAGUUUUUAUUAACUGUCGUUUUGUCUGGUGGUAAGAAAUAGAUUGAACACCUAUGUUUUGUAUAUCGAAUUCCGAUGACCUUGCCGAAAAUAAAGAUAAAGUUAUACAUUGUUGUAUACAUGUUUUACUUCCAUGUGAAAGUAUCCAAAUUACGGUGUAUAAAUUAAAGAGUCUUUAUUCAAAGAACUGACCAUUUGCCUUUAAAUCGCGUUCUGUAACAAACCUCAAAUCACUUGUCAAGGUAAUACAGUAACAGGUGUACAACCACUGGUAGUCUACUCUUUACUUAUAGCACAUAAUAAUGUUAAUUCUUUAUUGAAUGUGUAAUAAAGGAUUUACUGUA